rnacentral:rRNA from 1 species
CAGCAAUGGAGAGUGGCAGACGGGUGAGUAACGCGUGGGAACCUUCCCUAUGGUUCGGAAUAGCUCAGGGAAACUUGAGGUAAUACCGGAUAAGCCCUUCGGGGGAAAGAUUUAUCGCCAUUGGAUGGGCCCGCGUAGGAUUAGCUAGUUGGUGAGGUAACGGCUCACCAAGGCGACGAUCCUUAGCUGGUCUGAGAGGAUGAUCAGCCACACUGGGACUGAGACACGGCCCAGACUCCUACGGGAGGCAGCAGUGGGGAAUAUUGGACAAUGGGCGCAAGCCUGAUCCAGCCAUGCCGCGUGAGUGACGAAGGCCUUAGGG